rnacentral:rRNA from 1 species
UACAGAGGGUGCAAGCGUUAAUCGGAAUUACUGGGCGUAAAGGGUGCGUAGGUGGUUUUAUAAGUUAGGUGUGAAAGCCCUGGGCUUAACCUGGGAAUUGCGCUUAAGACUGUAAAACUAGAGUACUGUAGAGGGAGGUGGAAUUUCCGGUGUAGCGGUGAAAUGCGUAGAUAUCGGAAGGAACACCAGUGGCGAAGGCGACUUCCUGGACAGAUACUGACACUGAGGCACGAAAGCAUGGGGAGCAAACAGGAUUAGAUACCCUGGUAGUCCAUGCUGUAAACGAUGAGGACUGGCUGUUGGAAGCCGUGAGGCUUUUAGUAGCGAAGCUAACGCGAUAAGUUCUCCGCCUGGGGAGUACGGCCGCAAGGCUAAA